UUUAACGGCCGCGGUAUUUUGACUGUGCUAAGGUAGCAUAAUCAUUAGUUUUUUAAUUGAAAGCUGGAAUGAAAGGUUUGAUGAAAAAAUAGCUGUCUCAAUCUAAGAAUUUUGAAUUUUAUUUUUAAGUUAAAAAGCUUAAAUUUUUAUAAAAGACGAGAAGACCCCAUAGAGUUUAAUAUUUAUUUAUAAAAUAAAAUAUGGAAAUAUAAAUUUAUUUUAGUAAAAAAGUAUUUGAUUGGGGUGAUUGAAAAAUUUAAUUAACUUUUUUUAUUUCUAAUUUCAUUAAUAAGUGAAAAAAAAUGAUCCUUUUUUUAAGAUUAAAAGAAAAAUUACCUUGGGGAUAACAGCGUAAUUUUUUCUUAGAGUCCUAAUCGAAGCAAAAA
rnacentral:rRNA from 1 species